rnacentral:tRNA from 1 species
UCUAAUAUGGCAGAAUAGUGCAUUGGAUUUAAGCCCCAAAUAUAAGGCUACCCUUUUUUAGAA